UCGAGUAGGGCGGGACACGUGAUAUCCUGUCUGAAUAUGGGGGGACCAUCCUCCAAGGCUAAAUACUCCUGACUGACCGAUAGUGAACCAGUACCGUGAGGGAAAGGCGAAAAGAACCCCUGUGAGGGGAGUGAAAUAGAACCUGAAACCGUGUACGUACAAGCAGUAGGAGCACCUUCGUGGUGUGACUGCGUACCUUUUGUAUAAUGGGUCAGCGACUUAUAUUCAGUGGCAAGGUUAACCGUAUAGGGGAGCCGUAGCGAAAGCGAGUCUUAACUGGGCGCUCAGUCUCUGGAUAUAGACCCGAAACCGGGUGAUCUAGCCAUGGGCAGGUUGAAGGUUGAGUAACAUCAACUGGAGGACCGAACCGACUAAUGUUGAAAAAUUAGCGGAUGACUUGUGGCUAGGGGUGAAAGGCCAAUCAAACUCGGAGAUAGCUGGUUCUCCCCGAAAGCUAUUUAGGUAGCGCCUCGGACGAAUACUACUGGGGGUAGAGCACUGUUAAGGCUAGGGGGUCAUCCCGACUUACCAACCCUUUGCAAACUCCGAAUACCAGUAAGUACUAUCCGGGAGACACACGGCGGGUGCUAACGUCCGUCGUGGAGAGGGAAACAACCCAGACCGCCAGCUAAGGUCCCAAAGUAUUGCUAAGUGGGAAACGAUGUGGGAAGGCUCAGACAGCUAGGAUGUUGGCUUAGAAGCAGCCAUCAUUUAAAGAAAGCGUAAUAGCUCACUAGUCGAGUCGGCCUGCGCGGAAGAUGUAACGGGGCUAAGCAAUACACCGAAGCUGCGGCAAUGUCUUUUAGACAUUGGGUAGGGGAGCGUUCUGUAAGCCGUUGAAGGUGAAUCGUAAGGUUUGCUGGAGGUAUCAGAAGUGCGAAUGCUGACAUGAGUAACGACAAAGGGGGUGAAAAACCUCCUCGCCGGAAGACCAAGGGUUCCUGUCCAACGUUAAUCGGGGCAGGGUGAGUCGACCCCUAAGGUGAGGCCGAAAGGCGUAAUCGAUGGGAAACGGGUUAAUAUUCCCGUACUUCUGACUAUUGCGAUGGGGGGACGGAGAAGGCUAGGUGGGCCAGGCGACGGUUGUCCUGGUUCAAGUGCGUAGGCUUGAGAGUUAGGUAAAUCCGGCUCUCUUUAAGGCUGAGACACGACGUCGAGCUACUACGGUAGUGAAGUCAUUGAUGCCAUGCUUCCAGGAAAAGCCUCUAAGCUUCAGAUAGUCAGGAAUCGUACCCCAAACCGACACAGGUGGUCGGGUAGAGAAUACCAAGGCGCUUGAGAGAACUCGGGUGAAGGAACUAGGCAAAAUGGUACCGUAACUUCGGGAGAAGGUACGCUCUUGAUGGUGAAGUCCCUCGCGGAUGGAGCUGACGAGAGUCGCAGAUACCAGGUGGCUGCAACUGUUUAUUAAAAACACAGCACUGUGCAAAAUCGCAAGAUGACGUAUACGGUGUGACGCCUGCCCGGUGCCGGAAGGUUAAUUGAUGGGGUUAGCGCAAGCGAAGCUCUUGAUCGAAGCCCCGGUAAACGGCGGCCGUAACUAUAACGGUCCUAAGGUAGCGAAAUUCCUUGUCGGGUAAGUUCCGACCUGCACGAAUGGCGUAAUGAUGGCCACGCUGUCUCCACCCGAGACUCAGUGAAAUUGAAAUCGCUGUGAAGAUGCAGUGUACCCGCGGCUAGACGGAAAGACCCCGUGAACCUUUACUACAGCUUGGCACUGAACAUUGAACCUACAUGUGUAGGAUAGGUGGGAGGCUAUGAAGACGUGACGCUAGUUGCGUUGGAGCCGUCCUUGAAAUACCACCCUUGUAUGUUUGAUGUUCUAACUUAGACCCGUUAUCCGGGUUGAGGACAGUGCCUGGUGGGUAGUUUGACUGGGGCGGUCUCCUCCCAAAGAGUAACGGAGGAGCACGAAGGUGGGCUAAUCACGGUUGGACAUCGUGAGGUUAGUGCAAUGGCAUAAGCCCGCUUAACUGCGAGAAUGACGGUUCGAGCAGGUGCGAAAGCAGGUCAUAGUGAUCCGGUGGUUCUGUAUGGAAGGGCCAUCGCUCAACGGAUAAAAGGUACUCCGGGGAUAACAGGCUGAUACCGCCCAAGAGUUCAUAUCGACGGCGGUGUUUGGCACCUCGAUGUCGGCUCAUCACAUCCUGGGGCUGAAGUCGGUCCCAAGGGUAUGGCUGUUCGCCAUUUAAAGUGGUACGCGAGCUGGGUUUAGAACGUCGUGAGACAGUUCGGUCCCUAUCUGCCGUGGGCGUUGGAAGAUUGAAGGGGGCUGCUCCUAGUACGAGAGGACCGGAGUGGACGAACCUCUGGUGUUCGGGUUGUGUCGCCAGACGCAUUGCCCGGUAGCUAAGUUCGGAAUUGAUAAGCGCUGAAAGCAUCUAAGCGCGAAGCGAGCCCUGAGAUGAGUCUUCCC
rnacentral:rRNA from 1 species